AAUUAGAUUUUUUUACUCUUAGAGACACAUUCCAUGAUUUCAAUUACACUUUAAGACACUUACAACAUGAGACACACUUUUCAGUUGUGUAAAGUCUCUACUACCCUUUACUAUACAAGUUUGAUACUCUUUGUUCACCGAAAAAAAACAAGAGAGAGAUAAUCUUGAUUAUCAUUUCAGUCUUAUGAAUCUCUCUCUCCCCUAAAAUGUGGGUGAGCACAUAAGACAAACAACAUCGUUCAGCUAAUUUCACAAUCAAAGAGUUCAUAUAAUUUUGAAAUGUCUUCCCUCUUUAUCCUUUCCUUUUCCUCCAAUGAAACUACAAAGGGAUUUGUUCAGUACAAUUUACCAGAAAAGAUGUCGGGUAUUCAAGGCCAUAUCCUCGAAGUCACUAUGGUUGGAUUCCAGAAAUUAAAAGACACAAAAUGGUUGUCAAGACAAGAUCUAUAUGUUUUCCUCGAAUAUAACGAGACUCUGACCUCCUAUCGUCGUAACAGUAGCUCGUGGUGGUCGUCAUGCUCUGAAUCCGCCGUCGCGGCAGGUCAGAGCCUUCGUCGUCGGUUCCGUUGCAGAGAGAAACCUCGUGAAGCAACAAUGGUCAAUUCCCUCUAUUUUACAUAUCUGGUCCUUUAGGUUUUGUAUAUACGCAAUUUGACCCCAACAUUCUUUAAUUUACUUAUAGAUUCUUUUGA